rnacentral:lncRNA from 1 species
CUGACUCAUAUUUUCACAUCGGCCGUUUUCAAAGGGAUUAGUUGUCUUUGUUUUCAUUGUUACUCCAUCGUUGCAUGUACUCUGCACAAAGUGGCUGCUUUUUUUACAUAGAGAUCCUUUAAAAGGGUUACUUUGGGAUGUUGGCAAUAAGGGAUAAAUGAUCACUUCAACCAGGCGAGUGUCUCCUGACAAAUCUGAAGUUAGAAUCGCCUUCAGCCUUGACCAAGACUCAGAACCUUCCAUCACCCAGGAUUCUCUGCAUGUGUUCAAGACCUCCAGGGGGACAUAAGUUGGAGAUGCAACAUCCUAGUUAAAAGAUGUGGAGGAGUCGGCGCCGUCUUUCCCUGAUCUGGAACACAGACUGCAGGCGUGAGCUGCUGGCCGAGCUGGUGGAGGACGAGCUUGUUGCCGUGGAGAUGGCCUGUCUGGAGGAUGAGUUCCGUGUCCUGUCGGAGGAGAACGCCACGCUGCUCAACGUCCACACUGAGCGCGCUCAGCAACUGGAGACGCUCAGCUCCACCAAUCGGAAUCAGACCAGCCAGGACAGCUCCUCCACGUGACCCCCUGAACUCGACUCGACCCCAAGAGAUGAUGACCUCGCUCGAGACCUUCACAAACUGACGCUACGGGCCCGUAUUCCAAAACUGCUGAUCUAGGAUCAGUUCCCUUCCGUUCAUAAAUUCAUAUUUAUUAUGAUCUAAAAAUGCCAAACGGAUCCUAAAUCAGCACUCUUGCUCUGAGCCUCAACUUGGAUAUGGGCCCUGAAAACAUUACUAUCGGUGGCUGUCAAAUCCUUGCUUCCUCUGUCCUUGUUUCCUUAUCUCCUUUUCUAAGAGCAAUGGAGAAGAGGAUACAAGGUCCCUCGCUUGUUUGGACCUUCUCUUCCAAUGCACUUUGAGAGGAACUCUGAACCAGGGUUUUGGGGCCAGUUCUAUUUCAAUUCCAGCGAUGGGUUCAGAUUUCUAAACUUUUUUAAAAUAUAUUGUUAAUCAUCAGUUAUACCAGAGACAUGAGGAGUGACAUAGUCUGGUUUCUACACCAGAAGUUAAUGGGUAUCCGUAGGAGUAAUGUAUAAGGUUGGGGUCAAGGAUGUUUGAAUAGGAGCCAGGGGACAUUUGGGAGGUGCUGAGUAGAGGAGAGGCGAUCCCAUGAUUAUGGUGGAGAGCUGUGGAUUAGUAAAGAAUGUAGAGGUCAGGUCACGUCACGUUAAGGCAGAAGGAACAGUGUGUUGCCCGCAUUACUUAACUUCCCGUCUAGUGAUAAAGACGUAAUGUUUAGAGAGAAGGAGGAGACUUUGUCUUAUGCAGCUGUAUUGACCCAAUGGGUGAAUAAACUUGGUUUAAGCUUUACUAAUCACCUGUGAGUUUUACUAACAAAACAGUCGUCAAUUCAGGAAGUACACUGAAAUUCUAACUCAAAUUCUUCUUCGUUGCGUUUCAAUGAGCGGAAUUUGGUUUUCUUUCUCAAUUGACUGGAAUUGAAAUGGAAUUAAUCCCAACCCUGCUAAGGAAACAAGGACAGGGGAUGCAAGGACUUAGUAGUAGUAGUAGUAGUAGUAGUAGUAGUAGUAGUAGUAGUAGUAGGCUCUGUGAGUCUCUGGGCUUUGUGGAGACAUACAGGUGGUGUGAUGUGGUCCAAAAUGUUUUCGGGGGGGGGGCUUCCAUGCUCUCUCUUUCUCCCCCUUUCCUGUCCUCCCUCAGUUCCCCAGGUUUAUACUAUACCACCCAGGAUCAACUCUUGAGUUGAUGAUUCUGUAUGAGGUAGAAAUGCAAGACACUGUAAGACAUUAAAUCAUCUGGAUGUUGUGGAGCAAACUGGCUAGAUAUUCUGUAGUGAAGUAAUGUUAACGUUGACAAAGAAAAUGGUAUUUGUUAUUAAAAGAAGGAGUGGGCUAGUGAGAAUGACAAUGUUGGUUUUUAUGGUAAUUCCCUGUAGUAACUGUUAUUAACUGUUGUAAGGAAAACACAAUAUGACAAUGACAGAAUUCUGUAUGUGGCACAAUAAAGUUCUCUAUUAUGAAUUUAAA